GACAAAACCCCUAUAAUUCAGCAGUGGUUGAAUUCACAAGUCACAUGUCCAACACCACGUGAUGUCAUUUCCUGCAGUGGUGGUAAAUUUGAAAACAGUUGGGUAAGUUUUUCCUUCUCCUCUUCAAUAUUUCAUCAAUAAUUUGGGUUUUACAUUGAGUGUGUUAGUGGCUUGUCAACUGUGUUAUCAACAUUUUCUUGUUCACUUGCAUUGCACAUUAUUUUUUACUAAUAUUAACUGAAAGUGUAUAAAAACACGAGUUGAUCAAGGUCAUAUGGUGACAGGUUCAAGGUUGCCAGUUAGCACAAGGCCCCAAAAUGGCCGAAAUGUCAACCGUGUUACCUGUCAACUGUGUUACCCAUCAAGUGUAACACAGUUGACAGGGAGUAACACGGUUGACAAUGUUGCCAGGUUUCAUUGUGAUAGUUUAUGCUUAUAGUGUUUUGUUUUUUAAUAAUGAAUACAUACUGAAUAACUGGUAGAUUAACUAACCAUUAAUAGUGUUAACUAAGUAUUAACUAACUGUUUUAGGAAGAUGAGUCGCUUAUCUGCUGCUGAGAAGCAGCGCCAGUACAGGGCCCGGCGUAAUGCUGAUCCUGAGAAAAGGGCUGCAUAUUUACAGAAGCACAGGGAGACAUGGCAAGAGAACAAGCAGCGAGGAAAGGUGAAGGCAGUGAAAGAUUUAAGCGAGAGGGAGAAGAGAAGGAAACGAGCAUAUUGGAGAAAAGCCCAACGUCAGACUAGAGAGAGAAAGAAAGUGAUAGAGAGCCAGUUGACUCCACCCCAGAGUCCUGAAGUUAAUCCACAGCCUCAGAUGUCAAGACAGAGAAGUGCUGGAAGGAAGAAAGUCAAGAGAAGGGAGUCAAACUUAUACAGAGAAAUCCAGGCUCUUAAGGAAUCACUCAAUAAACAGAAAAGAAAAACUGAAAAAUACAGGAAAAGACUAACAAGACUACACCAAAAUUCAGAGUCACCCAGAUCAAAAACCCGCCGCCUCUUACGAAGGGUUCCUGUGUCUCGAGAGGUGCACAAAACUUUAGUUUUCCACCAUGCCCUAGUGGACAACAUCAGCAAAAAGUAUGCUUCUACCAAACACAAAAAAACUAGGCAGGUAAUCGCAAACCUUGUGACAGGAAGGAUAUUAAA